rnacentral:rRNA from 1 species
GAUGAACGCUGGCGGCGUGCCUAAUACAUGCAAGUCGAACGCUGGAGAUCUAGCUUGCUAGAUCGAAGGAGUGGCGAACGGGUGAGUAAUACAUAAGCAACCUACCCACGAAGACUGGGAUAAUCUCUGGAAACGGGGACUAAUACCGGAUAGGUAAUCGGAAGGCAUCUUCUGGUUAUUAAAGGUUAAAAACACUGGUGGAUGGGCUUAUGGCGCAUUAGUUAGUUGGUGAGGUAACGGCCCACCAAGACGAUGAUGCGUAGCCGGCCUGAGAGGGUGAACGGCCACAUUGGGACUGAGACACGGCCCAGACUCCUACGGGAGGCAGCAGUAGGGAAUUUUCGGCAAUGGGGGCAACCCUGACCGAGCAACGCCGCGUGAGUGAAGACGGCCUUCGGGUUGUAAAGCUCUGUUGUAAGGGAAGAACGGUAGAUAGAGAAUAUCUAAGUGACGGUACCUUGCCAGAAAGCCACGGCUAACUACGUGCCAGCAGCCGCGGUAAUACGUAGGUGGCGAGCGUUAUCCGGAAUUAUUGGGCGUAAAGAGCUUGUAGGCGGUUUGUCGCGUCUGCUGUGAAAGGCCGGAGCUUAACUCCGUGUAUUGCAGUGGGUACGGGCAGACUAGAGUGCAGUAGGGGAGACUGGAAUUCCUGGUGUAGCGGUGGAAUGCGCAGAUAUCAGGAGGAACACCGAUGGCGAAGGCAGGUCUCUGGGCUGUAACUGACGCUGAGAAGCGAAAGCAUGGGGAGCGAACAGG